GGGGACUUAGCUCAAAUGGUAGAGCACUUGUUUAAGCAUGCAAGAGGUAGUAGGAUCAAUACCUGUGUUCUCCA
rnacentral:tRNA from 1 species